rnacentral:misc_RNA from 1 species
AAGUCGUAACAAGGUUUCUGUAGCAUAAGUUAGGAACAUGAUUCUUCCCUAUAGGUAAACUUAUAGAAGCCUUAGUAUCCCUUUAUGGGAGGCCACACGACUGAAAAUAAAGUAGCCAUACUAGUUGACUUAAAGUCAGCAACACAACCGGACUGUUUUGGGAACACCCUAAAAUUUGUACCUUUUGGGACAAUGUGGGCAACCCACAGCGAAUAUCUUGUAGUAUUCACAUGCUAUUGGAGAACGUUCACAGACUAAGUGGUUGUGGAUAGAGUGUCUUUUGAGACUCUAUUUGAGAUAUAGUCGGGCCUGAUGGUAAUUUAUCAGGUUGGUUUAUAUGUUAUUGUCACAGCAUAAGCAAUAUUAGAUGCAGAAGAUCCUCUUUGGUUCAAAUAUUCUAAUAACAUAUAUCAAAACACCGUUCCGUAGGUGAACCUGCGGAAGGAUCAUUACAGAGAAAUUGCCCUUUGGGGGUAGAUCUCCCACCCUUUGUUUACAUUACCUUUGUUGCUUUGGCAGGCCCGUCUUAUGACCACUGGCUUAGGCUGGUCCGUGCCUGCCAGAGGACCCUAAACUCUUGAUUUUUUGUGUUGUCUGAGUAAUAUACAAAUAAGUUAAAA